GACGAACGCUGGCGGCGUGCUUAACACAUGCAAGUCGAACGGUAAGGCCCUGCCGGUGUGGGGUGCUCGAGUGGCGAACGGGUGAGUAACACGUGAGUAACCUGCCCCUGACUGUGGGAUAACUUCAGGUAACUGGGGCUAAUACCGGAUAGGAGCUCCUGCUGCAUGGUGGGGGUUGGAAAGUUUCGGCGGUUGGGGGUGGACUCGCGGCGUAUCAGCUUGUUGGUGGGGUAGUGGCUUACCAAGGCUUUGACGGGUAGCCGGCCUGAGAGGGUGACCGGCCACAUUGGGACUGGGAUACGGCCCAGACUCCUACCGGAGGCAGCAGUGCGGAAUGUUGCACAAUGGGCGGAGGCCUGAUGCAGCAACGCCGCGUGCGGGAUGGCGGGCUUCGGGUUGUGAACCGCUUUCGCCUGUGACGAAGCGUAUGUGACGGUAAUGGGUAAAGGAGCACCGGCUAACUACGUG
rnacentral:rRNA from 1 species